UACGAAGGGGGCUAGCGUUGCUCGGAAUCACUGGGCGUAAAGCGCACGUAGGCGGAUUGUUAAGUCAGGGGUGAAAUCCUGGAGCUCAACUCCAGAACUGCCUUUGAUACUGGCGAUCUCGAGUCCGGGAGAGGUGAGUGGAACUCCGAGUGUAGAGGUGAAAUUCGUAGAUAUUGGGAAGAACACCGGUGGCGAAGGCGGCGCUCUGGACCGAGACGUGACGCUGAGGCGCGAAAGCG
rnacentral:rRNA from 1 species